rnacentral:rRNA from 1 species
UACGUAGGGGCAAGCGUUAUCCGGAAUCAUUGGGCGUAAAGCGCGUGUAGGCGGUUCCGUAAGUCCGCUCUGAAAGCCCAGGGCUCAACCCUGGGAGGCGGGUGGAUACUACGGAACUGGAGUACGGAAGAGGAGAUUGGAAUUCCUGGUGUAGCGGUGAAAUGCGCAGAUAUCAGGAGGAACACCUGAGGUGAAGACGGGUUGCUGGGCUGACACUGACGCUGAUAGCGCGAAAGCCAGGGGAGCAAACGGG